rnacentral:tRNA from 1 species
AAAUAAGAAGCAACUUUGCAUUUAAUUUCGACUUAAAAGAUUGGGAAUUUACCCCUUAUUUA